GAGAGGCAGGAAUCACCUGUUUGACUUGAUAGCAGUGGGUGAAGCUGCAUUUUCUUUUACAUUGGUUACACCUCUGUAGGCACUGGUACGUGCAGCAGAGAAGGCUGUGUUUGAAUCCUGCUGCAGGAGGCAGAGAUGGAGGCCUGAAGAGAAGGGGUUACAACAUCAGGUGGUGUCUGACUGCUCUGAAGAGGAGCAAGCAGUUAGAAAUUUUCUGGAAAACUCAAAAUCAUUUAAAGGACAUAGAGUGGAUUGGGCUUUUCUUUUUCUUGCAGAAGGAAAGUGUGGUGAGAUCUGUGACUGCACCUAUGAAGAGACAGCUGAACUGGUGCUAUUUAGUCUUGCAUAGCCCAAUUGGGCUAAGCAGAGGACCAAGAGCAUCAAUAAAAGAUUUUGCAGCUUCCAAGAGGAGCACUACUUCCAGAAUGGAAAAUUAUAACUAUUCUAUCCCUUUAGAGACCAGUGGGUAAAUUUUCUCAUGUUUGAGUACUUGAAUUAACAAUGUGUAAGUACCACAUCUCUUUCUAUUUUCGGAAAAGUAUGUUGGUAAAUCAAAGACAUCCAGAGCUGUGUCCUGAAUGUUUUUCUGGGUGUACUGUGGCUGUUGGGUGGGAAUAAAUGUGUGCUUUCUAAGUAGAAAGAAAGAUAUUAUCUAUUAGCAUAAAAUAAGGUGAAAUUGUUUUAAAUGAAAACCCAAACUUGGUGUUCAGAACUUGGUAAAAAAUAAAAUAGACCAAAAAUCACUACCACCAGUAGAACUGGCUUUUUGGGCUGGAAAAUAAAACUGUGCCCAAGAUACACAAAAGCCUCAGGGAACUUUCCCCAGGGUAGGUGGUAUUAAACUGUCCAUCUGCCCUCUCUGCCCCACUGAGAAGCCACCCAUUUGUUUGGCUGUGGGCUGACUUUGGAACAUGGAAGCAAUUUUAUUGAGGUCAGCUUGACUAAUCAGCCCAGAGAGCUGGGUGUGUCUGUACAUUUUUGCAGAAACACCAUGAGGUUUCAUUGUCCUCUGAAUGCAGAAUUGUGGAUUAGGAUUUGGCAGAUGAGAUCCAUUCACGCUCAGGAAUGUCAGCCCUUUGGCAGAACAGCACAGUAAAAGAUCCUCCUUGGCCCCACAGCUACAAAAGAGAUUUCCUGUGUGAUAGCCACUGUCCACUCCCUGUCCUUGCUUCACUUUGUUACAGAGAUGAUGCCGUGGUUUGGAUCUUGACUUCCUGCUGCAACUGCCAUGGAAUUCACACUUUUCUUCCCACUGACUGUGCUGGUGGAAAAGGCAAGUGUUUCUUGGGAAAACAAUAAAUAUCACCCAGUUUCCCAAAAUGGAAAACAAACAUUGAGAAAAGUAUUUAAGACAGACUGAAAUGAUUGGGUUUGAUUUGUAUGUUUGCUUCUGCCACAUAUGUAUCUUACAAAACUAAUCUGAGGUGUAUUUCUAAAGGAAAACAAAACGGCUGGCUUUGUUCUGAAAAUGCUUAAACAACCUCUCUUAGAGGCUUGCUGGACUCUACAAAGGUUUUGGCCUGAAGUGAAAUCUUAGUAAAAUGCAUCAUUCAGAAG